AUAUUGUGGUGUGGGCAUUGUCACUGCAAGGCUUUGUUUCUCUACCACGCCUCAUACAGAGACUCCAAUUCAUGUUCUUGAAAACCAGAUAUCUCAUUUCUCAAUUC
rfam:Beta vulgaris subsp. vulgaris Bvchr4.sca013.con0038.1, whole genome shotgun sequence.